GGCCGCGACCACACCACGUUGGAUCACCGAAGUUAAUCAACGUCGGGCCCGGUUAGUACUCGCAUGGGUGACCGGCUUGGAAUACCGGAAGUUGUGUCCG
rnacentral:rRNA from 1 species